AGUGAACGCUGGCGGUAGGCCUAACACAUGCAAGUCGAACGAGUGGCGGACGGGUGAGAAAUGCUUGGGAAUCUAGCCUAUGGUGGGGGAUAACGUCGGGAAACUGUCGCUAAUACCGCAUACGAUAGGAUGAGCCGAGGUCGGAUUAGCUAGUUGGCGCGGUAAAGGCCCACCAAGGCGACGAUCCGUAGCUGGUCUGAGAGGAUGAUCAGCGACACUGGAACUGAGACACGGUCCAGACUCCUACGGGAGGCAGCAGUGGGGAAUAGUGGACAAUGGGGGCAAGCCUGACGCAGCCAUGCCGCGUGAAUGAAGAAGGCCUUCGGGUUGUAAAGUUCUUUUGGUAGGAAGGCGUUACCCAAAGAAUAAGCACCGGCUAACUCCGUGCCAGCCGCCGCGGUAAUAC
rnacentral:rRNA from 1 species